UGGGGAAUAUUGCACAAUGGAGGGAACUCUGAUGCAGCGACGCCGCGUGAACGAAGAAGGCUUUCGAGUCGUAAAGUUCUUUUAUAUGGGAAGAUAAUGACGGUACCAUAAGAAAAAGCCCCGGCUAACUACGUGCCAGCAGCCGCGGUAAUACGUAGGGGGCUAGCGUUGUCCGGAAUCACUGGGCGUAAAGGGUUCGCAGGCGGAAAUGCAAGUCAGGUGUAAAAGGCAGUAGCUUAACUACUGUAAGCAUUUGAAACUGCAUAUCUUGAGAAGAGUAGAGGUAAGUGGAAUUUUUAGUGUAGCGGUGAAAUGCGUAGAUAUUAGGAGGAAUACCGGUGGCGAAGGCGACUUUCUGGCCAUAUACUGACGCUGAGGUACGAAAGCGUGGGUAGCAAACAGG
rnacentral:rRNA from 1 species